UCUCCUUUUUCUAACUCGGGCCUUAUUUCGCGUGAAAAACGUGGUUUAUAAUUAGGUUCAUGGCGACCUUCAAUUUUUUACCGGAAGCUCGGCUUGUGUGUUACUCUCGCCUUUUUCUAUAUCCUCUGAAAGGAUGCCUUUCCCUAAUCGGCAGUCUUCCAGUUCCAAACGCCUGGCGUCGGUGUCAUCGGAUGGAAGGAUGGUGGAGAGGGGCUGUCACAGCAGCGAACUGAAGCUUAGUUCCCUUUGAGGUAAUAAACCUGUGUCUGGAGUGGUGCAGUCUGAAGUGCACUUCACAUGAUGCAGUGCUCCCAUUGGCGGGGGGACACCUUGCAUGUAACAAACUAGCGUGACAAGGAAGAGGUUAGGUUCUUCUCCCUGAUGUGUUUGUUUUUUACAUACAGGGAAUGUGAGCAAAAUGGAACAGUCCAGACACACGUUUACUACCUCAGUGAGAACUAUGCACAGGAAGGCCCACAAUCUGAGUUAAUGGAUGGGGUCACCUGUUCUAUAGCUAACAAACCAUAAGGCUGCUUUCCCCCUUCCCAACCAAUGCACCACAUACAUGAACUUCACUUGAUUUUUCAUCCACUGAAUAUGCAGUCUGCUCAGUGACUCACAGGUACUUCAUGAUCUCCAGUCCUUUCUCUCCUCAAUUAUCACCUCUAACUGAAUAGAAUCUUUCUUCAUUCUCCACCAGUCCUGGCUGAGAAACUAGUUAUCAGCCAACAACCCUCAAGCAAUUUUUGGAUGGCUGUCAUUUUGUGAGGAUCUCUAGGAGCUGUUGGAAAGUAGAAGAUCAGUUCAAUUGUCAAUUCAGAGUUCUUAACUUCCUGUGAAUAAGGCAUUACAAACAUUUCCAAAGCAAAGGAAGGAAAGAUCAAUGCAUUUCGGAGAGGCUCCUCAUGCUUCCAUGGUACAUUGCCAACCCUACCAUAGCUCUGGAUCAAGCACAGCUGCUCAACACUUUAAAAAAAGGAAAAAUAAUGUACUGUAGUUGAUAACCUGAAUAAAUAUGUGUAUCAUGUCCCUACAUCUGUAGACAAUUUAAUGGGGUUGGGAGGGUUGUUUUUCUCUUAAGUUUUGCACAUUUUACUGUUGCCGUAAUCUCUAAUUAGUGAAGACCAGCUUGGUGCUAACUUUGACCUCUUCCCUGUAAAUUAU